AAAGACUUAGGUUAAAAUCCCAGACCAAAGGCCUUCAAAGCCUUAAGCAGGUGUUAAAUCACCUAGCCUUUA
rnacentral:tRNA from 1 species